GCCUGGGUGGCUUAGUCGGUUAAGCAUCCGACUUCGGCUCAGGGCGUGAUCUCGGCUCAGGUCUGUGGGUUCGAGUCCCGCUUUGGGCU
rnacentral:tRNA from 1 species